AUUUUCAGAGAUUAUAGAUUAUGUCUUUCUGAGGUCGGAGCCAUCGUAGUCGAGGAGAGAGCUCUCAUGCCGCCAGCUUGCAUGCUUCUGCGCCACACGUACCAUGCAGUAAACUCUACUACUUUAGAUAUUUUUCUUUAUGUUAUUUUAUCCUCUAUUAUCUAAUAUAACAUUCUUUAUGUUAUCUUGAUACUCUUAGGUUUGGAUGACGUGGGGUCACUAAUGAUCCCACAGUCACAUGGAGCAGUAUUCGGCUCUAAGAGUCAGUGGCAUGGUAGAGGAUCCAUCCGGCUCGCAACACCUCCAACUC
rnacentral:lncRNA from 1 species